rnacentral:misc_RNA from 1 species
AAAGUCGUAACAAGGUCUCCAUAGGUGAACCUGCGGAGGGAUCAUUACAAGAACGCCCGGGCUUCGGCCUGGUUAUUCAUAACCCUUUGUUGUCCGACUCUGUUGCCUCCGGGGCGACCCUGCCUUCGGGCGGGGGCUCCGGGUGGACACUUCAAACUCUUGCGUAACUUUGCAGUCUGAGUAAACUUAAUUAAUAAAUUAAAACUUUUAACAACGGAUCUCUUGGUUCUG